CAGAGAAGGAGAACAUUCCAGGAAUGGGAGACAACCAGUGAGAAUGCAUGGAGAUGGGGGAUGGAGUUUCUUGUGAGAGGAACAGCUAGAACGUUAAAACACUGGAAAGGAAAUUCAAUUCAAUAAGUAUUUAUGAAGAACUUACUACAUAUCAGCCACUGUGGUAGUCCCUGGCGAUUCAAAGUCAAAAGUGAAAUUGUUCCUUGCCCUUAAGGAGUUUACAUUCUACAGAAGAGGAAAAAGCUUGGCAAUGGUGAUGUAUACCUAAAACCUUAGGUGCCAGUUCAAGGUAAGCCUGCAAAAUUGAAAGAGUUGGAAGAAUUUUGCGUCGGGAAACAGUAUCAAGCCCAGUGGUUUUGAAGAGGGAUUCAAUUUACUCUGUAGAUCUUCAGGACAGAAUGAAGUGGGAGUCUCAGGAAGGAAGAUUUCAAUUCACUCUAAGAAGGAACUUUCUCAUCUGCUGCUAUUCAAAGAUGAAAUGGGCUUCCUAAGAAGAUAAUUCCUUCUCUCUGAAAAUAUUUCUGCUAAGGUUGGAUGACCACCUGUCAAGGAUAUUAGAAAAGGGAUUCCUGCUUUAGGAUAGGAAGGGACCUAGGAGGCCAUUAAUGACAAUUAUCUCUUUUAUAGAUGAGGAAAAUGUGGCACAGAGAGAUUAAGUGUCUGAAGCCAUAUUGGAGCCCAGGUCUUUCUGACCCCACACAUUCAAUGAGUUCUAAAGUGGGAAAGCAAGGAGAACACAUCUUUAUUAAGCACGUACUUUGUGCCAGGCACUAUGCUAAGCACUUUACAAAUAUUAUCUCAUUUGAUCUUCAUAACA